AGAGUUGUGGCUCAGUGGUAGAGCACCUGCCUGGCAUGUGUGAGGCCCUGGGUUAGAUCCUCAGCACCUCAU
rnacentral:tRNA from 1 species